GAUGAACGCUAGCGGCAGGCUUAACACAUGCAAGUCGAGGGGUAGAGGAAGCUUGCUUCCUUGAGACCGGCGCACGGGUGCGUAACGCGUAUACAAUCUACCUUUUACAGAGGGAUAGCCCCAGAGAAAUUUGGAUUAAUACCUCAUAGUAUUUUCGGAUCGCAUGAUUUGAUUAUUAAAGUUCCAACGGUAAAGAUGAGUAUGCGUCCCAUUAGCUAGAUGGUAAGGUAACGGCUUACCAUGGCAAUGAUGGGUAGGGGUCCUGAGAGGGAGAUCCCCCACACUGGUACUGAGACACGGACCAGACUCCUACGGGAGGCAGCAGUGAGGAAUAUUGGACAAUGGGCGCAAGCCUGAUCCAGCCAUGCCGCGUGCAGGAUGACGGUCCUAUGGAUUGUAAACUGCUUUUGUACAGGAAGAAACACUGGUUCGUGAACCAGCUUGACGGUACUGUAAGAAUAAGGAUCGGCUAACUCCGUGCCAGCAG
rnacentral:rRNA from 1 species